CGAGCGGACAGAUGGGAGCUUGCUCCCUGAUGUUAGCGGCGGACGGGUGAGUAACACGUGGGUAACCUGCCUGUAAGACUGGGAUAACUCCGGGAAACCGGGGCUAAUACCGGAUGGUUGUUUGAACCGCAUGGUUCAAAAAUAUCAGGUGGUUUCCGCUACCACUUACCUAUGGACCCGCGGCGCAUUAGCUAGUUGGUGAGGUAACGGCUCACCAAGGCAACGAUGCGUAGCCGACCUGAGAGGGUGAUCGGCCACACUGGGACUGACACACGGCCCACACUCCUACGGGAGGCAGCAGUAGGGAAUCUUCCGCAAUGGACGAAAGUCUGACGGAGCAACGCCGCGUGAGUGAUGAAGGUUUUCGGAUCGUAAAGCUCUGUUGUUAGGGAAGAACAAGUACCGUUCGAAUAGGGCGGUACCUUGACGGUACCUAACCAGAAAGCCACGGCUAACUACGUGCCAGCAGCCGCGGUAAUACGUAGGUGGCAAGCGUUGUCCGGAAUUAUUGGGCGUAAAGGGCUCGCAGGCGGUUUCUUAAGUCUGAUGUGAAAGCCCCCGGCUCAACCGGGGAGGGUCAUUGGAAACUGGGGAACUUGAAUGCAGAAGAGGAGAGUGGAAUUCCACGUGUAGCGGUGAAAUGCGUAGAGAUGUGGAGGAACACCAGUGGCGAAGGCGACUCUCUGGUCUGUAACUGACGCUGAGGAGCGGAAAGCGUGGGGGAGCGAACAGGAUUAGAUACCCUGGUAG
rnacentral:rRNA from 1 species